GCUGAAGAUGUCAACAACAUUCAACAGUUCCAAGGGUAUAGGUGCAUCCAUUCCCCCAGCAUCGAAAAUGACAGGAACACCAGCACUCUUCGCAGCCUUUGCAACUUGGAUAUUUACGGAAUCAGGGAUCUCCCUUUGAAGCAAAAGGAUACCAGCAUUCCUCAUUACCGCCAAGUCCUCAUCGCUCAGUUUCUCAGGCCAACAACUCAUGUUGGCUCCACCAACAAUGAUAAUAGAGUUCUGCCCAUCAGACUGAAGCAUCACCACAGCAUGCCCAGUAGGCACAUCACCA
rnacentral:misc_RNA from 1 species